rnacentral:rRNA from 1 species
AACGAACGCUGGCGGCAGGCUUAACACAUGCAAGUCGAGCGCCCCGCAAGGGGAGCGGCAGACGGGUGAGUAACACGUGGGAAUCUACCCAUCCCUACGGAACAACUCCGGGAAACUGGAGCUAAUACCGUAUACGCCCUUUGGGGGAAAGAUUUAUCGGGGAUGGAUGAGCCCGCGUUGGAUUAGCUAGUUGGUGGGGUAAAGGCCUACCAAGGCGACGAUCCAUAGCUGGUCUGAGAGGAUGAUCAGCCACAUUGGGACUGAGACACGGCCCAAACUCCUACGGGAAGCAGCAGUGGGGAAUAUUGGACAAUGGGCGCAAGCCUGAUCCAGCCAUGCCGCGUGAAUGAUGAAGGCCUUAGGGUUGUAAAGUUCUUUCACCGAUGAAGAUAAUGACGGUAGUCGGAGAAGAAGCCCCGGCUAACUUCGUGCCAGCCGCCGCAGUAAAAC